rnacentral:rRNA from 1 species
AAUAGAUACCCGGGUAGUCCACGCCCUAAACGAUGUCGACUAGGUGUUGGGGAAGGAGACUUCCUUAGUACCGCAGCUAACGCGUGAAGUCGACCGCCUGGGGAGUACGGUCGCAAGAUUAAAACUCAAAGGAAUUGACGGGGACCCGCACAAGCGGUGGAUGAUGUGGAUUAAUUCGAUGCAACGCGAAAAACCUUACCUACCCUUGACAUGUACGGAAGUCCGCUGAGAGGUGGAUGUGCCCGAAAGGGAGCCGUAACACAGGUGCUGCAUGGCUGUCGUCAGCUCGUGUCGUGAGAUGUUGGGUUAAGUCCCGCAACGAGCGCAACCCUUGCCAUUAGUUGCCACAUUCAGUUGGGCACUCUAGUGGGACUGCCGGUGACAAACCGGAGGAAGGUGGGGAUGACGUCAAGUCCUCAUGGCCCUUAUGGGUAGGGCCUCACACGUCAUACAAUGGCGCGUACAGAGGGUUGCCAACCGCGAGGGGAGCCAAUCCCAGAAAGCGCGUCGUAGUCCGGAUUGGAGUCUGCAACUCGACUCC